rnacentral:rRNA from 1 species
CUGGCGGCGUGCCUAACACAUGCAAGUCGAGCGGAGAUCUUGAGAUGAGAGCUUCGGCAGGAUCUCAAAGAUUCAGCGGCGGACGGGUGAGUAACGCGUGAGCAAUCUGUCUCAGACAGGGGGAUAACGCAGCGAAAGUUGCACUAAUACCGCAUGAGACCACAACGUCACAUGACGAAGGGGUCAAAGGAGCAAUCCGGUCUGAGGUGAGCUCGCGUCCCAUUAGGUAGUUGGUGAGGUAACGGCCCACCAAGCCGACGAUGGGUAGCCGACCUGAGAGGGUGAUCGGCCACACUGGAACUGAGACACGGUCCAGACUCCUACGGGAGGCAGCAGUGGGGAAUAUUGGGCAAUGGGCGAAAGCCCUGACCCAGCAACGCCGCGUGAGUGAAGAAGGUCUUCGGAUUGUAAAUCUCUGUCCUAAGAGAAGAGGGGAAGACGGUAUCUUAGGAGGAAGCCCCGGCUAACUACGUGCCAGCCGCCGC